rnacentral:rRNA from 1 species
AUUGAACGCUGGCGGCAGGCCUAACACAUGCAAGUCGAGCGAGCGUCGGACGGGGGAGAAAUGUAUGGGGACUGCCCGCGAGAGGGGGGUAACUACUGGAAACGGUAGCUAAUACCCCAUACUAUCGGAUAACCCAUAUGGGAUUAGCGAGUAGGUGGGGGAAUGGCUCACCUAGGCGACGAUCCCUAGCUGGUCUGAGAGGAUGAUCAGCCACACUGGAACUGAGACACGGCCCAGACUCCUACGGAGGCAGCAGUGGGGAAUAUUGCACAAUGGGCGCAAGCCUGAUGCAGCCAUGCCGCGUGUAUGAAGAAGGCCCUAGGGUUGUAAAGUACUUUCAGUCGGGAGGCGUUACCGACAGAAGAAGCACCGGCUAACUCCGUGCCAGCAGCCGCGGUAAUUC